AGCGAACGCUGGCGGCAGGCUUAACACAUGCAAGUCGAGCGGGCAUCUUCGGAUGUCAGCGGCAGACGGGUGAGUAACACGUGGGAACGUACCCUUCGGUUCGGAACAACUCUGGGAAACUGGAGCUAAUACCGGAUACGCCCUUAUGGGGAAAGGUUUACUGCCGAAGGAUCGGCCCGCGUCUGAUUAGCUAGUUGGUGGGGUAACGGCCUACCAAGGCGACGAUCAGUAGCUGGUCUGAGAGGAUGAUCAGCCACACUGGGACUGAGACACGGCCCAGACUCCUACGGGAGGCAGCAGUGGGGAAUAUUGGACAAUGGGCGCAAGGCUGAUCCAGCCAUGCCGCGUGAGUGAUGAAGGCCUUAGGGUUGUAAAGCUCUUUUGUCCGGGACGAUAAUGACGGUACCGGAAGAAUAAGCCCCGGCUAACUUCGUG
rnacentral:rRNA from 1 species